GACGAACGCUGGCGGCGUGCUUAACACAUGCAAGUCGAACGGAAAGGCCCUGCUUUUGUGGGGUUCUCGAGUGGCGAACGGGUGAGUAACACGUGAGUAACCUGCCCUUGACUUUGGGAUAACUUCAGGAAACUGGGGCUAAUACCGGAUAGGAGCUCCUGCUGCAUGGUGGGGGUUGGAAAGUUUCGGCGGUUGGGGAUGGACUCGCGGCUUAUCAGCUUGUUGGUGGGGUAGUGGCUUACCAAGGCUUUGACGGGUAGCCGGCCUGAGAGGGUGACCGGCCACAUUGGGACUGAGAUACGGCUCAGACUCCUACGGGAGGCAGCAGUGGGGAAUAUUGCACAAUGGGCGGAAGCCUGAUGCAGCAACGCCGCGUGCGGGAUGACGGCCUUCGGGUUGUAAACCGCUUUCGCCUGUGACGAAGCGUGAGUGACGGUAAUGGGUAAAGAAGCACCGGCUAACUACGUG
rnacentral:rRNA from 1 species